CAACUACUCCCUCUGUCCCAAAUUUCUUGUCUUAGAUUUGUCUAGAUACGGAUGUAUCUAAUACUAAAAUGUGACUUGAUACAUUCGUAUCUAGAUAAAUCUAAGACAAGAAUUUUGGGACGGAGGGAGUACUUU
rnacentral:pre_miRNA from 1 species